GGGUUGUGAGGUUAAGCGACCAAGCGUACACGGUGGAUGCCCUGGCAGUCAGAGGCGAUGAAGGACGUGCUAAUCUGCGAUAAGCGCCGGUAAGGUGAUAUGAACCGUUAUAACCGGCGAUUUCCGAAUGGGGAAACCCAGUGUGAUUCGUCACACUAUCAUUAACUGAAUCCAUAGGUUAAUGAAGCGAACCGGGGGAACUGAAACAUCUAAGUACCCCGAGGAAAAGAAAUCAACCGAGAUUCCCCCAGUAGCGGCGAGCGAACGGGGAGGAGCCCAGAGCCUGAAUCAGCAUGUGUGUUAGUGGAAGCGUCUGGAAAGGCGCGCGAUACAGGGUGACAGCCCCGUACACAAAAGCGCAUGUGCUGUGAGCUCGAUGAGUAGGGCGGGACACGUGGUAUCCUGUCUGAAUAUGGGGGGACCAUCCUCCAAGGCUAAAUACUCCUGACUGACCGAUAGUGAACCAGUACCGUGAGGGAAAGGCGAAAAGAACCCCGGCGAGGGGAGUGAAACAGAACCUGAAACCGUGUACGUACAAGCAGUGGGAGCACAGGUUUACCUGUGUGACUGCGUACCUUUUGUAUAAUGGGUCAGCGACUUAUAUUCUGUAGCAAGGUUAACCGCAUAGGGGAGCCGAAGGGAAACCGAGUCUUAAUUGGGCGUUAAGUUGCAGGGUAUAGACCCGAAACCCGGUGAUCUAGCCAUGGGCAGGUUGAAGGUUGGGUAACACUAACUGGAGGACCGAACCGACUAAUGUUGAAAAAUUAGCGGAUGACCUGUGGCUGGGGGUGAAAGGCCAAUCAAACCGGGAGAUAGCUGGUUCUCCCCGAAAGCUAUUUAGGUAGCGCCUCGUGAACUCAUCUCCGGGGGUAGAGCACUGUUUCGGCUAGGGGGCCAUCCCGGCUUACCAACCCGAUGCAAACUGCGAAUACCGGAGAAUGUUAUCACGGGAGACACACGGCGGGUGCUAACGUCCGUCGUGAAGAGGGAAACAACCCAGACCGCCAGCUAAGGUCCCAAAGUCAUGGUUAAGUGGGAAACGAUGUGGGAAGGCCCAGACAGCCAGGAUGUUGGCUUAGAAGCAGCCAUCAUUUAAAGAAAGCGUAAUAGCUCACUGGUCGAGUCGGCCUGCGCGGAAGAUGUAACGGGGCUAAACCAUGCACCGAAGCUGCGGCAGCGACGCUUAUGCGUUGUUGGGUAGGGGAGCGUUCUGUAAGCCGUUGAAGGUGGCCUGUGAGGGUUGCUGGAGGUAUCAGAAGUGCGAAUGCUGACAUAAGUAACGAUAAAGCGGGUGAAAAGCCCGCUCGCCGGAAGACCAAGGGUUCCUGUCCAACGUUAAUCGGGGCAGGGUGAGUCGACCCCUAAGGCGAGGCCGAAAGGCGUAGUCGAUGGGAAACGGGUUAAUAUUCCCGUACUUGGUGUUACUGCGAAGGGGGGACGGAGAAGGCUAUGUUGGCCGGGCGACGGUUGUCCCGGUUUAAGCGUGUAGGCUGACUUUCCAGGCAAAUCCGGAGAGUCAAGGCUGAGGCGUGACGACGAGGCACCACGGUGCUGAAGCAACAAAUGCCCUGCUUCCAGGAAAAGCCUCUAAGCAUCAGGUAACAUCAAAUCGUACCCCAAACCGACACAGGUGGUCAGGUAGAGAAUACCAAGGCGCUUGAGAGAACUCGGGUGAAGGAACUAGGCAAAAUGGUGCCGUAACUUCGGGAGAAGGCACGCUGACAUGUAGGUGAAGUGGUUUACCCAUGGAGCUGAAGUCAGUCGAAGAUACCAGCUGGCUGCAACUGUUUAUUAAAAACACAGCACUGUGCAAACACGAAAGUGGACGUAUACGGUGUGACGCCUGCCCGGUGCCGGAAGGUUAAUUGAUGGGGUCAGCGCAAGCGAAGCUCCUGAUCGAAGCCCCGGUAAACGGCGGCCGUAACUAUAACGGUCCUAAGGUAGCGAAAUUCCUUGUCGGGUAAGUUCCGACCUGCACGAAUGGCGUAAUGAUGGCCAGGCUGUCUCCACCCGAGACUCAGUGAAAUUGAACUCGCUGUGAAGAUGCAGUGUACCCGCGGCAAGACGGAAAGACCCCGUGAACCUUUACUAUAGCUUGACACUGAACAUUGAGCCUUGAUGUGUAGGAUAGGUGGGAGGCUUUGAAGCGUGGACGCCAGUCUGCGUGGAGCCGGCCUUGAAAUACCACCCUUUAAUGUUUGAUGUUCUAACGUGGACCCGUGAUCCGGGUUGCGGACAGUGUCUGGUGGGUAGUUUGACUGGGGCGGUCUCCUCCUAAAGAGUAACGGAGGAGCACGAAGGUUGGCUAAUCCUGGUCGGACAUCAGGAGGUUAGUGCAAUGGCAUAAGCCAGCUUGACUGCGAGCGUGACGGCGCGAGCAGGUGCGAAAGCAGGUCAUAGUGAUCCGGUGGUUCUGAAUGGAAGGGCCAUCGCUCAACGGAUAAAAGGUACUCCGGGGAUAACAGGCUGAUACCGCCCAAGAGUUCAUAUCGACGGCGGUGUUUGGCACCUCGAUGUCGGCUCAUCACAUCCUGGGGCUGAAGUAGGUCCCAAGGGUAUGGCUGUUCGCCAUUUAAAGUGGUACGCGAGCUGGGUUUAGAACGUCGUGAGACAGUUCGGUCCCUAUCUGCCGUGGGCGCUGGAGAACUGAGGGGGGCUGCUCCUAGUACGAGAGGACCGGAGUGGACGCAUCACUGGUGUUCGGGUUGUCAUGCCAAUGGCACUGCCCGGUAGCUAAAUGCGGAAGAGAUAAGUGCUGAAAGCAUCUAAGCACGAAACUUGCCCCGAGAUGAGUUCUCCCUGAGACUUUGAGUCUCCUGAAGGAACGUUGAAGACGACGACGUUGAUAGGCCGGGUGUGUAAGCGCAGCGAUGCGUUGAGCUAACCGGUACUAAUGAACCGUGAGGCUUAACCUUACAACGCCGAAG
rnacentral:rRNA from 2 species